UUUUUUUUUUUUUUUUUUUUUUUGAGACGGAGUCUUACUGUCGCCCAGGCUGGAGUGCAAUGGUGCAAUCUUGACUCACUGCAACCUCCACCUCCUAGGUUCAAACAAUUCUCCUCCCUCAGCCUCCUGAGUAGCUGCGAUUAUAGGCGCAUGUCACCACGCCUGGCUAAUUGUUGCAUUUUUAGUAGAGACUGGGUUUCACCAUGUUGGCCAGGCUGGUCUCGAACUCCUGACCUCAGGUGAUCCGCCCACCUCAGCCUCUCAAAGUGCUGGGAUUUCAGGUGUGAGCCAACAUGCCCAGCCACACUCCGACUCUUAUUUCCUAGAGUAUUCUGCCUCCAGGUACCAGACACACAGCUUGCUCCUUAAUUUCACUCAGGACUCUGCUCAAAUGUACAUCUCAUCACUCCAGAGAGGCUUUCCCUGCCCUCCCAAUCAAGCUCAGCCACACCCCAGCUCUUUACUUUCUGACCUGCCUGGUUUUACUUCAGAGCACUUCUGAUCACCAUUAGACACAGCGUGUUUGUCCUCUGACAACCAUCUGCCUCAGAUGUGACAUUAGGAUGUGACAUUACUUAGGGCAGGGGCUUCCUUCUGUAUCCUUAGGAUCUAGAAGAAUGCCCAGUACUUAGUAGAUGCUCAAAGAAUGAAUAAAUGAAUCUGAUGCCAAAGCCUUGGCUCCUCACUGUCCCUGGAAUAAUCCAGCAGAGGGUGAUCACUGCAUUAACAAAGCCCUUUUUGGAAAUCUGUGAUGCCGCCUUUGUCUGUAUCUGUGCCACUGUUCACCUUAAAUUUAUUUAUUUGUGAAUGGCCAGAAUUUCCUCCAGACUGAGUUCAUGGCUGCUGUAGCCCAUGACAUAGUCUUGAACAGCAUAGGUUAAUCUUUUGUUGACUGAACAGAAAAACAAAUCCCCAAACCAAUGGCAGAAGUUUAAUUUCUCUGCUGCCAAAUGCAGAAUAGGGGCCACCUUCCAGCCCACUGCCCUGAAAAAAGACUAAGCCCCAUUCCUAGGGAACUAAGACCUUGGAGUCAAGCUCAAGUGCUCUUUAGAAUUCCUUGGGUAUUGAGCUGUGCCAGAGAAAGCUCCUGGCAGAAUGUAAUUUGCCAACUAAGCCCAGAAAGCUGUGUGAACAACAGGCAAACUUAAAGCAGGCACUUAGUGAAAUUGCUGUUAUCUCAAAAAGAAAUAAUAGCAUGCCAGGCUGGCUUAAGGGGAAAAUACUCGAGUGUAAAAAGGGCUGCGCUUCACUCCCCUGGUCUCCAAAACAUACAAGUCUCCAAACACUCUCCCUCUAACUUGAGCCAUAGAGUCAAGACCCUCCCAGCCCCAUUCUCCAUCUCCAUUCCAUCACUCCAGGCCCAUCAGAUUCCCCAGUCACCAGGAACUCUCCUUGCAUUUAUUAAUGUUGUCCUCUUUGUCUGGCAUGCUUGUCCUUCCUUCCUCUGCCACCCAGGCUGGAGGGCAGCAGUGCAAUCGUAACUCACUGCACCCUUGACCUCCCAGGCUCAGGUGAGCCUCCAACCUCAACCUCCUGAGUAGCUGGGACCACAGGUUCAUGCCACUAUGCCUGACGAAUUAAAAAAAUUUGUUUGUGGCCGGACGCGAUGGCUCACACCUGUAACCCCAGCACUUUGGGAGGCCUAAGCAGGCAGAUCACAAGGUCAGGAGAUCGAGACCAUCCUGGCUAACACAGUGGAAUCCUGUCUUUACUAAAAAUAUAAAAAAUUAGCCGGGUGUGGUGGCACACACCUGUAGUCCCAGCUACUCAGGAGGCUGAGCCAGGACAAUCACUUGAACCUGGGAGGCAAAGGUUGAAGUAAGCCGAGAUCACGCCAGUGCACUCCAGCCUGGGCAACAGAGUGAGACUCCACCUCAAAAUAAAAUGGUGUGUGUGUGUAAAAAUUGUGUGUGUAUGUGUAUGUGUGUAGAUGAGGUCUCACUCUGUUGCCCAGGCUGGUCUUGAAUUCCUGGCCUCAAGUGAUCCUCCUGCCUCAGCCUCCCAAAGUGCUGAGAUUACAGGUGUGACCCACCGCACCUAGCCCCUACUCAUUUUUUGUUUUCUCCUUUGCAAAAUCUUCCUCUUCCUCUCCUUCCUCUGACAGAUAACUGUGUUCUGAGUUGUAGGUGUCAGUUACCAAUUCAGCCGGCCAACUCAGCUCAGUGUCAAGAUUAGAGAAGACAACAGAACAUGCCUGCAGGGAACACGGUCUAAUUGGGGAGACCAAUGCAAAGAAAUACACAAUUACAAAUUGGGGAAAGGGUUCAGAGGGAAACAAGACAUGGUGAGAGAUACCACACCGCCAGGUGGAGAUGGGGAAAACCACAUCAAAUGGCUAGGGAAGACUUCUCUGAGGAGGUGACAUUCAACUGGUUCCUGAUGGAUGAGUAGGAGUUAGCCAAGCAAAGAAUGGGGAGAAAAUGUUUUAGGCAGAGGGCAUGGCAUGUGUGAGGGUGUGAAGGUGCGGGGCAAGAAAGCACAUGGCAUAACCCAGAAACCAAAGGGAGGACUGUGCGACUUCGGCCUCAGAGGACUGGGCGGGCUGUGUGAGGACAGGCAGGCCUCCUAGGCAGCAAAUGCUCUGAAUUGCCAUCCUUGUGUUUCUGCCUCCCCUCUCCUCAGAAGGGCCGCGGUACAUCUACUUCCCUCCCUAUCUUCAGUGCAGGGCAAGACACCUGGUGCAUAGAGGGCACUCAACAAGUGCCUGUGGGCUGCACUGUCCCCAGAGAUGCAGUGAGCCAUCACUCCCUCUGUCCAUUCCUCCACCCCAACAGCAAGUCCCCAGUUGGCACGCCUAACUGAAGCACUCAGGGACUGGUUAACCACAAGACUAGUGAAAGAAACUGAGGAUGAAACAGGAGCAGCUGCAAGAGCUACAGUUACGUCCUUGACUAAUGCCACUGACAACCCAGUUGGCAGAUGUGACCACCACAUGGUCCUUGGAGACCAGAUUCUCAGGGUAAGCGUCAAUCAGAUGUAACUCUAGGAGGGCCUGCCAAAAUCACAGCCCCCAAGACUUAAAUUAUCAGUUUGAAGUUCAAAAUACAGUUUCCAAAAUUCAGUAGUUUGUUGAUUAAAAUUUUAAAAAUCCAAAAGAUAAAAACAAAGCUGAGUUGGUAGGAAUUUCCAAGUUGCCAGGUGCCCCAUCUGUCCUGUAUUUCCCCUGAUGAAUUAGCCUCUGGCCCAACCAAUAAUUCUGUCAUUUUCUUUUUCUUUUCUUUUUUUUUUUUAGAUGGAUGGAUGGCAUUUCGCUCUUGUUGCCCAGGCUGGAGUGCAAGUUCCAUGUGGGCAGGUUCCUGGUGUUACGUCUAUAUAUCUAGUGCCUAGAAUAGCUUGACACAGAGUAGGUACUCAAUACAAAUUACUAAAUGGUUAACAGUUUUUCUUUAGGAUUUUCUAAAGAUGGUAUGUCGAAUACUGACUUCUAGUUUCUUGGGACACAAAGUAUUCAUGGUAUUUUCCAAACACAGUGCAUUAUCACAGCAAUAACCACAUUUUUUUCAUGGCUGCUCUAUCCACAUACUGUACUUGCUCCUUUAAAUGUAUCGCUAAUCCUCAAAAUGGCCCUUCAAAGUGGGGAUCAUCACUCCGCUUUACAGACAAAGGCCCUAAAGUUCAGAGAGGUCAAUUAAAUUCCUCCCAGUCAUAUGGCUAGUAAGUGGUGGCAAGACCAGAAUUCAAACCCAGCUUGGAGUCCAGGGUCUGUGCUCCUUCCACCCAGUCCCACUUCUCAACAUACGGGCACAAGCCCCCAGGGUCACUCCAGCAGGCCUAUGAGCACGGGAAUCCAAAAGACAAUGUGCGGCCCAUUUUUUGUAUCUUCUUUUCCUGAUGGUAAACAACAUAAAAUACUUUUGUGUUAAAAAAGGCACAGACCAGCCUGGGCAACAUAGUGAGACCCCAUUUCUACAAAAAAAUAAAAAAUUAGCCAGGCAUAGUGCUGCACACCUAUAGUCCCAGCUGAGGUGGGAAGAUCACUUGAGCCUGUGAGGCUGAGGCUGCAGAGAGCCAUGAUCAUGCCACUGCACUCCAGCCUGGGCAACAGAGUGAUGCCCUGUCUGGAAAAAAAAAAAAAAGGCACAUAUAUUUUAAAGUAUGACAUAUAAAAGUAAAUUUAAAAUAAUUUUUAAAACAAAACACAAAAGUUAAAAGAAAUUUCAUGCUUGUUGCCCAGGUCAGUCUCAGGAACCUCUAUGGAAAAACAUGAAAAGCACCUGUCACUCUGUCCUUCUUCAUUUUAUGUGUCUUUUCCUUGUUGCCGUAUUAUUUAUUUAUUUAUUUUUAUUUAUUUAUUUUCAGAUGGAGUCUUGCUCUGUCGCCCAGCCUGAAGUGCAGUGGUGCAAUCUUGGCCCACUGCAAUCUCCGCCUCAAGCAAUUAUCCUGCCUCAGUCUCCCGAGUAGCUGGGAUGACAGGCGCACACCACCAUGUCCCACUCAUUUUUUGUAUUUUUAGUACAGACAGGGUUUCACCAUGUUGGCCAGGCUGGUCUCCAACUCCUGACGUCAAGUGAUCCACCAGGCUCAGACUCCCAAAGUGCUGGGAUUACAGGCGUGAGCCACCACACCCUGCCCCUUGUUGCUAUAUUAAAUAAUGCCAGCAUCCCCACUCAAUCUUCAUUUUCCCACUCCCACUCAAUUAAAAUGUCUAUUGAAAAUGGCAGGAUGUCAGCCACGUGCAUGUCAUUUUCAAAAGCCUUAGUCAUUUAUGAGGACACCUUUUUGUAGGUACAAUAAAUCUGAUUGAUUUUUAUUACACAUCUUAGUUUAGAAUCACUUUUACAUUCCUAGACAAAGAGAUGAUACAAAUAAAUAUCAAUUGUAAAACUUAGAGCCCCAAGUAUUGAUUGGCAUAUUCUUUGUCUAAAGGUAGCCAAAGAGAAGGUCGAGAUCAGUAAUAACUUCAAGGAGCCAUAAAGCCCACUGCUUCCUGCCGGCCCCAGGAUCACUCCUUCGUAAAUAACCCCAGAAGCAUUUCAUUCAGGCAACAAGGGCAGGCAGAAAGAUGACAGAUUUCUGAACAGCACAAAACAAAGCCUUGCGUGAUAGACAAUCGCCAGGCCCACUAUUCUUAGCCAGUUCCCUCAGAGCAUUUUUAGUAUGGCUUUUAGAGUAUAUUAACAGCCCCAUUUUCGUCCACUGAUGGGGUUCAGAUGGUCUGAGGUGUUGUCUCCAGUACGCCUCAACCUCAAGUGGGAAAUGUGAGGCAAAACUGAUAUCCACGUUAACAGGGAAUCGACACUUCUCAGAAACUUGGCAACGAUUCUACAUUCAGUGAGGGAGGACUUGUCAGAGUCAGACAGGAAAAGCAGAGAGCGGCCCACGCCUGAGCUGCAGCACUCUGGCGCCCUUGGUCAUGGAGGUGUGGGUGGAGCAAUUCAAGCAGCAUGCAGGCAUUAGACGGGAAAUAAUCCAGCGUUAGGUCAGUCUUAAGAAAGUGCUUCAUGCCUAUGAUUUGUGGCCUUGGGUUCUGAAUCCAGGGGUCUGAGAGACAUGUGACUUUAAAAUAUGAAGCCAGAUACAUUCUCCAGAUCAGAAUAAAAGGGGGUCUAUUGGGGGUUGCACACACAGUCUCAAACUCCUUCUCCUGAUGGCCAUCUUAGAUCCUGUUAGACUCGCUUUCUGGCUUUGCUAGCUGCUUCUGGCAUAAAGGCCCUUAGAUGGCUCAGAACAUUCUAGGUACGAUUAGAGACAUGAAAACCUGGUCCCUCAGUGGGCUUGGUAGGUCCUCUACAUAUUUGGCUCAAUGCAGAACCCAAAGCAGCAGCUUUCUGGUGGCAGCACAACAUUCUACAAUCUGCUCUAUUCAAACAUUUAUCGGAUCCAUUUUUAGAGAAGAAAAGCACCAGAGACUGCUUGGAAAGGGACAGCUUCAUUUCCAACUAAGUCUUCUUUUCUUUUGUUUCCACAGACCACCACAUAAACACAGCUGGGUACAAGACAGGCCUGUCAACUUGUCUGUCUUCUCUUAGAAAAGUUCUAUGUGUCACUUAACCACCCUUGGUCAGAAGAGUCACCUCGAGAUACCAGUAUUAACGUAUAGGGUUAUCUGCAGUUUUCUUUCUUUUUUUUUUUUUUUUUUUUUUGAGGCAGAGUCUCAGUGUUGCCCAGGUUGGAGUGCAGUGGUGUGAUCUCGACUCACUGC
rnacentral:lncRNA from 1 species